AUUGAACGCUGGCGGCAUGCUUUACACAUGCAAGUCGAACGGCAGCGCGGGCUUCGGCCUGGCGGCGAGUGGCGAACGGGUGAGUAAUGCAUCGGAACGUGCCCAGUAGUGGGGGAUAGCCCGGCGAAAGCCGGAUUAAUACCGCAUACGACCUGAGGGUGAAAGCGGGGGACCGAAAGGCCUCGCGCUAUUGGAGCGGCCGAGGUCGGAUUAGCUAGUUGGUGGGGUAAAGGCUUACCAAGGCGACGAUCCGUAGCUGGUCUGAGAGGACGACCAGCCACCCUGGGACUGGGCCACGGCCCAGACUCCUACGGGAGGCAGCAGUGGGGAAUGUUGGACAAUGGGGGCAACCCUGAUCCAACCAUGCCGCGUGCGGGAAGAAGGCCUUCGGGUUGUAAACCGCUUUUGUUCGGGAAGAAAUCCUCUGGGCUAAUACCCCGGGGGGAUGACGGUACCGGAAGAAUAAGCACCGGCUAACUACGUG
rnacentral:rRNA from 1 species